UACAGAGGUCUCAAGCGUUUGUUCGGAUUCAUUGGGCGUAAAGGGUGCGUAGGCGGCGCGGUAAGUCGGGUGUGAAAUCUCGGAGCUUAACUCCGAAACUGCAUUCGAUACUACCGUGCUUGAGGACUGGAGAGGAGACUGGAAUUUACGGUGUAGCGGUGAAAUGCGUAGAUAUCGUAAGGAAGACCAGUGGCGAAGGCGGGUCUCUGGACAGUUCCUGACGCUGAGGCACGAAGGCCAGGGGAGCAAACGGG
rnacentral:rRNA from 1 species